UCUCUCUGUAUCUGACAUUCUAAGCCAUGGCCGACGAGUCCAAACCGCACGUAAUCUUCACGUACGGAACGCUCAAGCGAGGCUUCCCAAACUACCACCUCAUGCAGUCCCUCAUCGACCAAAACGACGCCGUCUUCCUCGGCCCCCACAUGACCCUUCACGCCUACCCGCUCGUCUGCGGGGCCCACGGCAUCCCUUUCCUGAUCAACCUCCCCGGGUCGGGCUUCCGGGUCACGGGCGAUCUCUACUCGGUCUCGACCCGCGGGCUCGUCCGGGUCGACGAGCUGGAGGGCACGCGCCUCGGCCACUACGAGCGCCUUCCCGUUCAGGUGAUCCACACAAACGCCCCAGACGGCGUCGUUCCGGUGCAGGCCGACGCGUACUUCGCGCACAGGAGCUUCGGGGAGGGAUUGUGGGAGAGGAAUGGGAGAAAGGGGAUGAGUGAGUACACCGAGAGGGAGGCGCGUGGGUAUGUGAGAAGAGAAGACCGGCCCAAGGAUAGAACUUUUCUCGAUGAGGUCCGCUUCUUUCUGUGCUCUGAUGCCAAAAAUGACUCACCGCUGGAGUAAAUUUACGGAGAUCCCAAGGGUAGUUUUGGGAUUUAAGCGGGAGAAAAGGGAAGGAACUUGUUCAUAUUCAAUCUUAUGGCUUUUUCAGAGCUAGAUGGUGACCGCUUGAGUCAAGGAGAAAAGGGAAGGGAACUUAUUCAUAUUCAAUCUUAUGGCUUUUUCAGAGCUAGAUGGUGACCGCUUGAGUUGAGGUAUAAAAAAGACAUGUGUCCUUUAAACAUGUGAGAAUCACACGUUUUUUUAUUAAACAUGUCAAUCUUAUAUGUGGGUUGUAGAAAUUUCUGUCCAUAUUAUUAACAAUUACCUAAUUUUAAGUUUUUAACACCCAAGUUGUGGACUAAGAAUAAAUAAAUUGGUAAAUACUCUUUCUGA